UUCAAUGUAGCAGCAAAACAAUUGACUUUAAUGGCUGUCUGUCCAGAACAUUGACACAAUGUACAUGUGACCUAAUUCAAUGUUUAACAUAAUGACCUCUCUCUUCUCACAGUGGUUUCUAAUUGGACCAAAAAAAAAUAUAAUAAAGUUCACAACUUGUCAGACUCACUCACUCUUAUAUUAAAGGAAGUCAUGGCUGGGUCAAGGCCACAAAGCCUCUAGUUGACAGUAGUAAAACUGAUCACAGAACUCUCUCAACUCCUAGUGUUAUAGUAGACAUGAGUUGUUGAAAUAAUUUAAUAAAAAAAAACACAAAAAAAAACAAAACAUGCCUCUCAUUACCGAGAUAAUUAUUCAAAAGUAUAUGUACAAUUGUUAUUAUCAGAGAAAAAGAAAUAGAAAGUGUAAUUUUUAUUACAAAAUUCAUUAACAUUUAAACUAUAAUUUAAUGAAAUAAUAUUGAUAUAUUCUGCACAAGAUCAUCUCAGCAUAUAGAUAUACAGUGGACAAGAUUCCCCAUACAUACAUGUAAUGAAGAUGUAGCUCCAAAAAAAUCAUUUGACAAGUGAUACAAAGAAUUUGAAAAAGAAAAUUAAUCAUCUAAAUCCCAAGUCAAAUAUAAAGAGAGAAAAAAAAAAGCAUUCAAUAUACAUCAUUUUAAAUAUUAAAUAAUCACACGGAGGGAGAAUGGCACAUUUGAAUUUGACGCAUGGAAAAUGUCCAUUGAUGAUUGUGUCCUACUGAAUCAGCUACACAGGGGAUUUCACUUCAGGACACAGUGUGAUGACAGAGACGUAACCAGUUACAACUGGUUUAAUACCUUACCACAUAGGUGACUGCUAAAUAAAAAAAAACCAUAACAUUAAAAUAAUUGACUGAAAUGUACGAUAUAAUCACAAAAUACUAUUCUAGCUCAGGCGUUUCAAAAUGCUCAAGUUUGAAGAUAAAUUUGGAUGAAAAAAAAUGCCUUAAACAUAUUUGAGUAUUCUCCAUAAGGACGCUGAAGAUAUAAAUAAAUAAAUGUACAAACUUAUACAAAUUACUAAAGCCUAACAUUUUCCUAAUGAAUCAUCUUAAUGCUUUAACAAGAUCAAAUGAAAAAAAAAACCAGAAAAGAAAUCAUGCUAACUAAAAUUUCUCAAAUUAAAAAAAAAAAAAAGGAUAAUGGAAAGAUAAGCACUCGAUAUUUUCAUUUCUGGGAUACAUUAAAUAAAAAUACAAUUAACACAUAUAUUAAUACUAGAGUUAACAAACAUUUUUUCAAAACCCAAUAACCUUCUCAGAUGUUAAAUAAAAGUGUACUCAUAUCAAAGGAAAGCUCAAUUGAAAAUGUUUAAUCGACAAAUUUUAAUUUCUGGACAAUUAGUUUGAAUAAAGCCCACUACACUUACAGUGAAUGAAAUUUUGUGGAGUGAUUUGAUCAACACCAAGAACUUAAUGUCUGAGUUGGAUCACUCAUAGAAAGUGAAUGAUUAAAAAGUACAUUUUGGCUUAGAGCCAACAAAUACAUAAAGAUUAAAUCCAUUGUGGGGAUACUUAAGCCAAAAAGGUAUGUAAGUAAAACAUGACAUAAUAAUUACAAAGAACUUAGUUAAUUAGCUAAUAGUUUGGGUGAAAAUAAAACUCAAUAUCUUUGAUUUUUAUUGAUAUAAUCCUUUUAAGUUAAAAAAAAAAAAUCCACAUUUUUUUUUUUUUUAUAGUUAAGUCAUAAUUGCACAGAACACAACCAAAUAAUUUUUUUAACAACAAAAUCACAAGUUUUUGACCUCCAGUGUUGUAGUGUAAUGUAGAUUCAUAGUAAAAACAUUGGAAAUAGAAAAAAAAAAUAAAAACAUGUAACAUAAUAACAGUUUUUAAUAAUGAGAAUGGAAUUGUUGUCAGAGGGCCAAUUAAACAUUAGUCAUAACGAUCCAACAGGUUUUGGAAGAAAGAAACCAAGAGAAAAAAAAAAAAAAAGA